AAUUUCGUGUUCGCUUUAUUAGCAUUUUUUAUUCAACUUACUUUGGCAACGAAGACACAGUCAGCGAAGGAACAACAGUUUUAUUUACACAAGUUGAGCUACGCUGAACUUAUCGAAGGCUUCACAUCUUUGUUAUUUGAAAGGAGGAAAUGAUGGCCGCUAUAUUUGUAUUGCUUCUGGUUACUGUCUUCCAUGGUUAUGUCAGUGGUUAUCCUGUCACAGGUUAUGCUCUCCAUUUCCCACACCAAGGAGUGACUGAUUACGCCAACGUCUGGGGCAUGCGCACUUUGACUCAGUUUACUGUGUGCCUCUGGAUGAAAUCAAGUGCUUCAAAUCCUGGCACACCAUUCAGUUAUGCUGUACCAGGGCAGAGCAACGAGCUGAUCAUCUACAACUACAAUGAUUUCAGUUUGUACAUUGGAGGCGAAUACAAGUAAGCUAAAUUUUAUUUAGCCGUU